rnacentral:rRNA from 1 species
UACGGAGGGUGCAAGCGUUAAUCGGAAUUACUGGGCGUAAAGCGCACGUAGGUGGUUUGUUAAGUCAGCUGUGAAAUCCCCGGGCUCAACCUGGGCACUGCAGUUGAAACUGGCAAGCUAGAGUAGGGUAGAGGGGUGUGGAAUUCCAGGUGUAGCGGUGAAAUGCGUAGAUAUCUGGAGGAACACCGGUGGCGAAGGCGGCAUUCUGGACCAUAACUGACACUGAGAGACGAAAGCCAGGGGAGCAAACGGG